AACUUGAGUGCAGAAGAGGAGAGUGGAAUUCCACGUGUAGCGGUGAAAUGCGUAGAGAUGUGGAGGAACACCAGUGGCGAAGGCGACUCUCUGGUCUGUAACUGACGCUGAGGAGCGAAAGCGUGGGGAGCGAACAGGAUUAGAUACCCUGGUAGUCCACGCCGUAAACGAUGAGUGCUAAGUGUUAGGGGGUUUCCGCCCCUUAGUGCUGCAGCUAACGCAUUAAGCACUCCGCCUGGGGAGUACGGUCGCAAGACUGAAACUCAAAGGAAUUGACGGGGGCCCGCACAAGCGGUGGAGCAUGUGGUUUAAUUCGAAGCAACGCGAAGAACCUUACCAGGUCUUGACAUCCUCUGACAACCCUAGAGAUAGGGCUUUCCCUUCGGGGACAGAGUGACAGGUGGUGCAUGGUUGUCGUCAGCUCGUGUCGUGAGAUGUUGGGUUAAGUCCCGCAACGAGCGCAACCCUUGAUCUUAGUUGCCAGCAUUUAGUUGGGCACUCUAAGGUGACUGCCGGUGACAAACCGGAGGAAGGUGGGGAUGACGUCAAAUCAUCAUGCCCCUUAUGACCUGGGCUACACACGUGCUACAAUGGACAGAACAAAGGGCUGC
rnacentral:rRNA from 1 species